UGAACAAUAUCUUGAACAGUUUGUUGACAGAAGAUAGAGAGCACAGGUGAUCAUACCCAAAAAAGCUUUUGUGUGUGAGCAGUUUUGUGCUCUCUAUCUUCUGUCAAUGUACUUCUCA
rnacentral:pre_miRNA from 1 species